UCUCGGCUCUUGCAUCGAUGAAGAACGUAGUGAAAUGCGAUACUUGGUGUGAAUUGCAGAAUCUCGUGAACCAUUGAGUCUUUGAACGCAAGUUGUGCCCGAGGCCUUGUGGCAGGGCACGCCUGCUUGGGCGUCAUGGCAUCGUCGCCUUUGCUCCUUGCUU
rnacentral:rRNA from 1 species